rnacentral:ncRNA from 1 species
AAAACGGGGAGCUUGUAGACAGGCUGAGAGGAAGGUGUGCCCUUCGACCCAUGAACCUGAUUUGGAUAAUGCCAACGUAGGGAGAC